rnacentral:lncRNA from 1 species
UGGGGGCUGGAAUACCCCCCGAAAUUCCCAAUAUUCCUGGAAAAAUUCCCCUGUUCUGACUCUUUUCCCUUUUUCCCCCUCAGGCUGACGGAGCUCCCGGAGCCGAUUCCGGGUGGGAUCGACGCCGAGAUGGACCCGGAGGGAUGGGUCACACAAAUCCGAAAACUGCAGGAGGAAUUUGGUAAGUCCUUCAAGCCCUUCCCCCCCCGUGGGCAGUGGCUGGAAAAUGUCAUUUUUUUAUGGAAAUUUGAGGUGGUUUUCCCUGUUUUCUCCCCAAAGAAAGUGACACUGAACUGGGUCUGUGAAUUUACCCCCGAAUCUGUGAGUUUAUCCCCACCCAGAUCAAUAAAUUCAUGCCCAGGUCUCAAAUUCCCUUUUUUUCCCCUUAUUUUCAGAGGAAUGUGACACAGAAAAUGGUGAGUUUUGGGGUCCAAAUUGUGCUAAAUAAUAAUAUAAUUAUUUAUAAUUAUAUAAU